ACUCCUACGGGAGGCAGCAGUGGGGAAUAUUGCACAAUGGGGGAAACCCUGAUGCAGCCAUGCCGCGUGUGUGAAGAAGGCCUUCGGGUUGUAAAGCACUUUCAGUAAGGAGGAAAGGUUAGUAGUUAAUACCUGCUAGCUGUGACGUUACUUACAGAAGAAGCACCGGCUAACUCCGUGCCAGCAGCCGCGGUAAUACGGAGGGUGCGAGCGUUAAUCGGAAUUACUGGGCGUAAAGCGUACGCAGGCGGUUUGUUAAGCGAGAUGUG
rnacentral:rRNA from 1 species